GGGAUUUUACAUUCACCGGACUUUUUACUGUUUUUGACAAUAAACCAUAAUGUGACCGCAUUCAGCUCAAUAUUUUUGGAAAACUCUGAGGAGCGCUGUGGCACCAAAAGGACGAGUGGACUGUUAUAUUCACGUUAUGCUUUAAAAUGAACGAGCAGAGAAGUUUGACGAAGAGCAGACUAUGUGGGGGACUUCUCGUGGACACAGCUCAGAGUGACUCAUACAGAAAAGAUGGGGGACUUCGCGUGGACACAGCUCACAGAGUGAGUCAUACAGAGUUCAUUGAUGCCUGAGACAGUCCAGCAGUUAAGGACACCGACCGCC